rnacentral:misc_RNA from 1 species
CUCAAUUGCUAUGUUGCUUUAUUAUCCUCACCUUCCUUUCCAUGUUCAUCUUCCCAUCUCAAUCCACUUCCAGAAAAGAUAUUGCUAAGUUUCCAUCUGAUGUCAAAUAUAACGAGAAGGUUAAUGUGUCCCUCUACCAUGAAACUCUCUGUCCAAGCUCUGCAUCCUACAUUUUGCAUGAUCUGUCCAACGCCCUCUUCAAAGAACGUCUCUUUCACAUAGUCAACCUGAGGAUGGUUCCAUGGG